rnacentral:rRNA from 1 species
AUUGAACGCUGGCGGCAGGCCUAACACAUGCAAGUCGAGCGGAUGAAGGGAGCUUGCUCCUGGAUUCAGCGGCGGACGGGUGAGUAAUGCCUAGGAAUCUGCCUGGUAGUGGGGGAUAACGUCCGGAAACGGGCGCUAAUACCGCAUACGUCCUGAGGGAGAAAGUGGGAGAUCUUCGGACCUCACGCUAUCAGAUGAGCCUAGGUCGGAUUAGCUAGUUGGUGGGGUAAAGGCCUACCAAGGCGACGAUCCGUAACUGGUCUGAGAGGAUGAUCAGUCACACUGGAACUGAGACACGGUCCAGACUCCUACGGGAGGCCGCAGUGGGGAAUAUUGGACAAUGGGCGAAAGCCUGAUCCAGCCAUGCCGCGUGUGUGAAGAAGGUCUUCGGAUUGUAAAGCACUUUAAGUUGGGAGGAAGGGCAGUAAGUUAAUACCUUGCUGUUUUGACGUUACCAACAGAAUAAGCACCGGCUAACUUCGUG